GUGCCAGAUGGUCAUCACCGUGUCCCGGCAGUACUGCUGCAGCGGGCGCGUGUCCCGGGGGUGCCGGGGCAGCAAGUUGAGGAACUUGGCCAGCGCGGCGCGGUCGAAGGCGGCGUCCAUGGCGGUCGCGUUGGCGUAGGUGAAGCGGGAGAAGGCCCGCGAGCGCACCACCCGCUCGAUGGUCUGGAUCCCGCGCACGCACCGCUCCACGUCCCUGGGGUCCCGGAAGUAGUUGAAGGUCACCGCCGGGUUCGCGUGCGGGUCCGUCGACCGCAGCUCCACGUGCCCCGUGGAGAGCGGCCCUAGGAUCUUCUCCAGGAUGAAGCCGCCCCGGAACGCCCGCCGGUCCAGCCCCUGCAUCACCUCCGCCGCCCGCCGCAUCGCCCCCGCCGUCCUCUCCCUCGGCGGCAGCGUCCCGAGCUGCCCCGUCUGGUGCAUGGGGGAGAACAUGCCAAAGGAGUGGGCGCGGCGGCGGGAGUGGAGGGGGAUGCCGAACUGGGAGCCGCUGACGCCCUCGAUGAAGCUGCCGAAGCGGGUGACGCCGACGACCUGGACCAGCGAGAGCGCGACGGGGACGGGGGACGGGACGAACACCGAGUUCAUGGGGUUGUCGGCCACGCCCUGCCCGACCAUGGGGCGGUCCACGACGGCGCGGACGCCGUGCUUCUCCAGGUGCGCGCGCGGGCCGACGCCGCUCAGCAUCAGCAGCUGCGGGCUCCCCAGCGUCCCCGCCGCCAGGAUCACCUCGCUCCUCCCCACGCCCCGCAGGUACACGCGGUGCUGCACCCCCAUCGUGUCCGUGAACACCACGCCGUACGCCACGGGGCUCGCCGACCCCUCUGCACGCCGGAAGAGGAUCUGCGACACGGUGGCGUGCAGGAACACGGUGAGGCGCCUGGGGUUGGCGCUGCGGAGGAAGUCGGCGGCGGUGUGGCGGCGGCCGGCGCUGUCGAAGAUGGUGCCGCCGAUCUUGGUGCCGGGGACGUGGUCGACGGUGUAGCCGUUGUCCGGGGUGACGCCGGCCUGGAGGAGGCCCUCGCGGAGCGCGCCCUGCCAUCGCGGCACGGCGCGCGUCCCACCCGGCGGCGCGCACGUACUCGCUGCUGGCGCGCGUGUAGAAGCCGGCGUUGA
rnacentral:rRNA from 1 species